rnacentral:misc_RNA from 1 species
GAUUUGUAAUGGUAAGACUAGGUGAGGCUUAAUAAGCCCCCUAAUACACUGCUUUUAAGUGAAAGUCUUGCUUUUAAGUGGAAGUCUUAAAGAGUCUCUGUAUGAGUUGGGCAUAUUGGAUAUGAAGAAUCACUGGUAACAAGUCCAUCUUAUAUGGAAUGUUUUUAAUGUGAAAGCUCAUUUGGAUGAUGCAUUGCAUAU